CCUACGGGAGGCAGCAGUGGGGAAUAUUGGGCAAUGGGCGCAAGCCUGACCCAGCAACGCCGCGUGAAGGAAGAAGGCUUUCGGGUUGUAAACUUCUUUUUUCAGGGACGAAACAAGUGACGGUACCUGACGAAUAAGCCACGCCUAACUACGUGCCCGCAGCCGCGGUAAUACGUAGGUUGCAAGCAUUAUCCGGAUUUACUGGGUGUAAGGGGAGUGUAGGCGGGAUGGUAAGUCAGGUGUGAAAACCACCGGCUCAACCUGGGGACUGCAUUUGAAACUGUAGUUCUUGAGUACUGGGGAGGUGGACGGAAUGCGUGGUGUAGCGGUGAAAUGCGUAGAUAUCACGAGGAACACCAGUUGCGAAGGC
rnacentral:rRNA from 1 species